rnacentral:rRNA from 1 species
GCGAUCAUACCAACGCAAAUGCACUGAAUCUAAUCAGAACUAUGAAGCUAAGUGUGCUUAGGAGAGAGUAGUACUAAGAUGAGUGACCCCAGGGUGGUGGUGACU